rnacentral:rRNA from 1 species
UGAGUAACACGUGGGUGAUCUGCCCUGCACUUUGGGAUAAGCCUGGGAAACUGGGUCUAAUACCGGAUAGGACCACGGCAUUCAUGUGCUGUGGUGGAAAGCUUUUGCGGUGUGGGAUGGGCCCGCGGCCUAUCAGCUUGUUGGUGGGGUAAUGGCCUACCAAGGCGACGACGGGUAGCCGGCCUGAGAGGGUGACCGGCCACACUGGGACUGAGAUACGGCCCAGACUCCUACGGGAGGCAGCAGUGGGGAAUAUUGCACAAUGGGCGCAAGCCUGAUGCAGCGACGCCGCGUGAGGGAUGACGGCCUUCGGGUUGUAAACCUCUUUCGCCAGGGACGAAGCGCAAGUGACGGUACCUGGAGAAGAAGGACCGGCCAACUACGUGCCAGCAGCCGCGGUAAUACGUAGGGUCCGAGCGUUGUCCGGAAUUACUGGGCGUAAAGAGCUCGUAGGUGGUUUGUCG